rnacentral:rRNA from 1 species
UACGUAGGGGGCUAGCGUUGCUCGGAAUUACUGGGCGUAAAGCGUGCGCAGGCGGUUUUGUAAGUCUGACGUGAAAUCCCCGGGCUCAACCUGGGAAUUGCGAUGGAGACUGCAAGGCUAGAAUCUGGCAGAGGGGGGUAGAAUUCCACGUGUAGCAGUGAAAUGCGUAGAGAUGUGGAGGAACACCGAUGGCGAAGGCAGCCCCCUGGGUCAAGAUUGACGCUCAUGCACGAAAGCGUGGGGAGCAAACAGG